UACUAAAGAUGUUCCUAUUCCUGGUUCACAUAAUGACCUCAAGAAGCACCUUAAUGAUCUGAAACGCUUCCUUUCAACUUCAGAAGCAAAGUUUCGUGACAUAGCUAAUGGUUGUAAGGAAGUACAAAUUAUUGAUUCUUCUCAGUAUGAUGAGUUAUUUGAUGGAAUGAAUAACCAGUCUUUAUCAAAAAGAGUAGAACUUUUUAUUGGAAAUAUUACAUUAUUAAUUGAACUUUGUCCUGAUCACAUUAGUACAUUCUUGUCUAUACUGAGAGAACAGGAUCAUGUUGUUCUUUCUACAUUAGCUGACAGGAUUGCUGCUUCAUUAGAUACAUGAAUAAGAUAAUGAUUACUGGAGCAAUGACAUUACUUAAUGUUUUUAUGUUUUAUAUGUGUUAUGUUUGUGUAUUUUGUGUUUGUAUUUUACUUUACAAAACAGUUUAAGAAGAUUCCUCAACACUAU